rnacentral:rRNA from 1 species
AAACGGCGAGUGAAGCGGGAUGAGCUCAAGCUUAAAAUCUCCGUACAAGUUUUGUACGGCGAAUUGUAGUCUAUAGAGGCGUGGUCAGCGUGAGCUCUUGGGGCAAGUUCCUUGGAAAAGGACAGCAUGGAGGGUGAUACUCCCGUUCAUCUCCGAGUGGCUCGUGCGUACGACCCGUUUUCUUUGAGUCGCGUUGUUUGAGAAUGCAGCGCAAAGUAGGUGGUAAAUUCCAUCUAAAGCUAAAUAUUGGUGCGAGACCGAUAGCAUACAAGUACCGUGAGGGAAAGAUGAAAAGAACUUUGAAAAGAGAGUUAAAGAGUACCUGAAACUGCUGAAAGGGAACCGAAUCGUUUCCAGUGUCUAUAAUCUGUGGCAUAUUUCAUUGGCGAGUGUGUGCGUGCGUGUGCUGUGGCAGCGGCCUUUUGGCUGCGCUUGGCGCGUGUGGUGUGUGUGCUUGCUGGUGCCCUGUGCUGCGGUGGGACGUCAAUGUCAGUUCGUAUGCUGCGGGAAAUGGCUGCCGAGGAGGUAGGGCUUACGCUUGCGUUUGUCUGUUAUAUCUUGGUGGACGAGUCGUCGCGGUUGGGACUGAGGUGCCUACAACGUGCUUUUGAGUGGGUUUGUGUCUCCGUGUGUGCCGUGUGCGGAUAGCUUGCUAUGCGUGUGUGGUUAUGUGUGGAUUGAUAUGGGCUUUAACUUGUUGCCGUUC